AAUCAACGCUGGCGGCGUGCCUCAGACAUGCAAGUCGAACGCGAAAUUUCCCUUCGGGGAGAAAGUAGAGUGGCGCACGGGUGAGUAACACGUAGGUAAUUUGCCUUUGGGUGGGGAAUAACUCAGGGAAACUUGAGCUAAUACCGCAUAAUGCAGCGGCUCGACAUCGAGACAGUUGUUAAAGCGGGGGAUUGGAGCAAUCCGACCUCGCGCCUAAAGAGAAGCCUGCGGCAGAUUAGCUAGUUGGUAAGGUAAUGGCUUACCAAGGCGACGAUCUGUAACGGCCUGAGAGGGCGGUCGGUCACACUGACACUGACAUACGGGUCAGACUCCUACGGGAGGCAGCAGUCGGG
rnacentral:rRNA from 1 species